rnacentral:rRNA from 1 species
CCUACGGGAGGCAGCAGAGGAGGAUCAUUCGCAAUGGGCGCAAGCCUGACGGUGCGACGCCGCGUGAGGGAUGAAGGCCUUCGGGUCGUAAACCUCUGUCGGGAGUUAUGAAUGACGGGGGCGUUAAUACCGCCUCCGUGUGACAAAGGCUCCAAAGGAAGCCACGGCUAACUACGUGCCAGCAGCCGCGGUAAUACGUAGGUGGCAAGCGUUACUCGGAAUCACUGGGCAUAAAGGGCGUGUAGGCGGACAUGUAAGUCCGGUGUAAAAGCCCCCGGCUCAACCGGGGAAGGUCGCCGGAAACUGCACGUCUGGAGGAUGGGAGGGGAGAGUGGAACUCUUGGUGGAGCGGUGAAAUGCGUAGAUAUCAAGAGGAACGCCGGUGGCGAAAGCGGCUCUCUGGUCCAUUCCUGACGCUGAGGCGCGAAAGCUAGGGGAGCAAACGGGAUUAGAUACCCCGGUAGUCCUAGCCCUAAACGAUGGGUACUAAGUAGGAGCGGCUCCGAUGUCGUUUCUGCUGUAGCCAAUGUGCUAAGUACCCCGCCUGGGGAGUACGGUCGCAAGGCUGAAACUUAAAGGAAUUGACGG